rnacentral:rRNA from 1 species
CGCGGCCUAUCAGCUUGUUGGUGGGGUAAUGGCCUACCAAGGCGACGACGGGUAGCCGGCCUGAGAGGGCGACCGGCCACACUGGGACUGAGACACGGCCCAGACUCCUACGGGAGGCAGCAGUGGGGAAUAUUGCACAAUGGGCGAAAGCCUGAUGCAGCGACGCCGCGUGAGGGAUGACGGCCUUCGGGUUGUAAACCGCUUUCGCCUGUGACGAAGCGUGAGUGACGGUAAUGGGUAAAGAAGCACCGGCUAACUACGUGCCAGCAGCCGCGGUGAUACGUAGGGUGCGAGCGUUGUCCGGAUUUAUUGGGCGUAAAGGGCUCGUAGGUGGUUGAUCGCGUCGGAAGUGUAAUCUUGGGGCUUAACCCUGAGCGUGCUUUCGAUACGGGUUGACUUGAGGAAGGUAGGGGAGAAUGGAAUUCCUGGUGGAGCGGUGGAGUGCGCAGAUAUCAGGAGGAACACCAGUGGCGAAGGCGGCUCUCUGGGCCUUUCCUGACGCUGAGGAGCGAAAGCGUGGGGAGCGAACAGGCUUAGAUACCCUGGUAGUCCACGCUGUAAACGGUGGGUACUAGGUGUGGGGUCCAUUCCACGGGUUCCGCGCCGUAGCUAACGCUUUAAGUACCCCGCCUGGGGAGUACGG